GGGAGAGGAAGAGGAAAAGAUGUCAGUAGAAGAGAAGACAUCGUAUUGCUUAUCCCAUACCUAAUGACUGAGGUGGCAUGCUGGAUGUACUGGCUGGAGCUACAGAGAAGGACACAGAUGGACUUCACUCUUUGCCUGGGAUUGACAGCAUGUAAUAUACACUCUUUCCCUCUGGUCCCUAAGAGAGACAACCCAAAUUCCAUCCAGUCAUAACAUCAAGCAUCAAGUCUAGAAUCUCUGGUAAUCUUAUAUCAAGAAUGAAGCAAGACAUUGGCACCGGGUCCAGAUAUGGCUCCUGAUGAUCCAGAGACAUGGAGGCUAAGGAAACUGCAAUCAGUAGGCACGAGUCCUGGAACAAAAUGAUGCCCUUGCAGGGGUAAAUGGAUGUGGAACUUCACUCUGUGAGCGUGAGAUGCCACAGGAGUGGCUGGAGUGGUGGAAGGUGGCUCAUGGGGCCACUAGGCUGUGCCUCUCGUAUUCGCCACCAUCGAGGGAUUACUGGAGACGGUGGGGAUCCUUGAAUGCCGAAUGCCGCACAGUCCUGCUUACUGAACCUGCGUGGUGAGUACAUACCAUCUGCCCGUAGGAAGGACGGCACUCUCUGUGGGGUGGAAGUGAGAGUCCCCAGUGAACAUGAAGCCGAUCCACUUAGACGGUGACUUUGUGAGAGGUACGUGUGUGACACAUCUAAAACUUGCUUCGAGUAAAACCAGACCAUAGGAAAAAUGCAACUUUUUAAAUGGUGUAGGAUUUUCAACAUUGCCUAAUACUUCUCUAAACACUUCUAUUAUUGUCUCCUAUCUCCUUUGGUUCUCAGAAAGUAUAUGAAUCAUUUUAGCCUCCUCGCCUGCUUGAUCUCCUUAGCACUUACCACCAUCUAACAGUCUAAGUAUUUUGCCUGUUUAUCUUAAUUGUCUGCCUUACCCACUAGAAUUGAA